rnacentral:rRNA from 1 species
ACCAGCUAAGGUCCCUAAGUCUUACUUAAGUGGAAAACGAUGUGAAGUUACUUAAACAACCAGGAGGUUGGCUUAGAAGCAGCCAUCCUUUAAAGAAAGCGUAAUAGCUCACUGGUCUAGUGAUUUUGCGCGGAAAAUAUAACGGGGCUAAAGUAAGUACCGAAGCUGUAGACUUAGUUUACUAAGUGGUAGGAGAGCGUUCUAUUUGCGUCGAAGGUAUACCGGUAAGGAGUGCUGGAGCGAAUAGAAGUGAGCAUGCAGGCAUGAGUAGCGAUAAUUAAUGUGAGAAUCAUUAACGCCGUAAACCCAAGGUUUCCUACGCGAUGCUCGUCAUCGUAGGGUUAGUCGGGUCCUAAGUCGAGUCCGAAAGGGGUAGACGAUGGCAAAUUGGUUAAUAUUCCAAUACCAACAUUAGUGUGCGAUGGAAGGACGCUUAGGGCUAAGGGGGCUAGCGGAUGGAAGUGCUAGUCUAAGGUCGUAGGAGGUUAUACAGGCAAAUCCGUAUAACAAUACUCCGAGAACUGAAAGGCUUUUUGAAGUCUUCGGAUGGAUAGAAGAACCCCUGAUGCCGUCGAGCCAAGAAAAGUUUCUAAGUUUAGCUAAUGUUGCCCGUACUGUAAACCGACACAGGUGGGUGGGAUGAGUAUUCUAAGGCGCGUGGAAGAACUCUCUUUAAGGAACUCUGCAAAAUAGCACCGUAUCUUCGGUAUAAGGUGUGGUUAGCUUCGUACUAGGAUUUACUCCGAAAGCGAAGAAACUUACAACAAAGAGUCCCUCCCGACUGUUUACCAAAAACACAGCACUCUGCUAACUCGUAAGAGGAUGUAUAGGGUGUGACGCCUGCCCGGUGCUCGAAGGUUAAUUGAUGGGGUUAGCAUUAGCGAAGCUCUUGAUCGAAGCCCGAGUAAACGGCGGCCGUAACUAUAACGGUCCUAAGGUAGCGAAAUUCCUUGUCGGUUAAAUACCGACCUGCAUGAAUGGCGUAACGAGAUGGGAGCUGUCUCAAAGAGGGAUCCAGUGAAAUUGUAGUGGAGGUGAAAAUUCCUCCUACCCGCGGCAAGACGGAAAGACCCCGUGGACCUUUACUACAGCUUGACACUGCUACUUGGAUAAGAAUGUGCAGGAUAGGUGGGAGGCUUUGAGUAUAUGACGCCAGUUGUAUAUGAGCCAUUGUUGAGAUACCACUCUUUCUUAUUUGGGUAGCUAACCAGCUUGAGUUAUCCUCAAGUGGGACAAUGUCUGGUGGGUAGUUUGACUGGGGCGGUCGCCUCCCAAAUAAUAACGGAGGCUUACAAAGGUUGGCUCAGAACGGUUGGAAAUCGUUCGUAGAGUAUAAAGGUAUAAGCCAGCUUAACUGCAAGACAUACAAGUCAAGCAGAGACGAAAGUCGGUCUUAGUGAUCCGGUGGUUCUGUGUGGAAGGGCCAUCGCUCAAAGGAUAAAAGGUACCCCGGGGAUAACAGGCUGAUCUCCCCCAAGAGCUCACAUCGACGGGGAGGUUUGGCACCUCGAUGUCGGCUCAUCGCAUCCUGGGGCUGGAGCAGGUCCCAAGGGUAUGGCUGUUCGCCAUUUAAAGCGGUACGCGAGCUGGGUUCAGAACGUCGUGAGACAGUUCGGUCCCUAUCUGCCGUGGGCGUAAGAAGAUUGAAGAGAUUUGACCCUAGUACGAGAGGACCGGGUUGAACAAACCACUGGUGUAGCUGUUGUUCUGCCAAGAGCAUCGCAGCGUAGCUAAGUUUGGAAAGGAUAAACGCUGAAAGCAUCUAAGCGUGAAGCCAACUCUAAGAUGAAUCUUCUCUAAGCUCUCUAGAAGACUACUAGUUUGAUAGGCUGGGUGUGUAAUGGAUGAAAGUCCUUUAGCUGACCAGUACUAAUAGAGCGUUUGGCUUAUCUUUAAUAAAGCAU